CAAAAGCUUGGUCCUGGCUUUACUAUCAGCUUUGAUUAAAUUUAUACAUGCAAGUAUCCGCAGCCCCGUGAGAAUGCCCUCAGACUGCCCUUUCAAGGGAAAGAGGAGCCGAUAUCAGGCACAACUUUAGGUUCGCCCAUAACAUCUUGUUUAGCCACACCCCCAAGGGAACCCAGCAGUAAUAAACAUUAAGACCAUAAGUGUAAACUUGACUUAGUUAGCAUCAAGAGGGCCGGUCAACCUCGUGCCAGCUACCGCGGUUAUACGGGAUAAUGGGCCCAAGUUGAUAGAACUCGGCGUAAAGCGUGGUUAGUUGAAACUUUUACUAAAGCCGAACGCCUUCAGGGACGUUAUAAGCGUAUGGAGGUAAGAAGCCCUUAUGCGAAAGUAGCUUUAAGACAUAUGAAGCCACGAAAACUAGGAAACAAACUGGGAUUAGAUACCCCACUAUGCCUAGCCUUAAACACAAACAAUUCCAUCACAGCAAUUGCUCGCCAGGGGACAACGAGCGCUAGCUUAAAACCCAAAGGACUUGGCGGUGCUUUAAACCCCCCUAGAGGAGCCUGUUCUAUAACCGAUACUCCCCGUUCAACCUCACCCUCUCUUGUUCCAUUCCCGCCUGUAUACCUCCGUCGUCAGCCCACCCUGUGAAGGGUUAAUAGUAAGCAAGAUUGGCAAGGCCUAAAACGGCAGGUCGAGGUGCAGCUUACGAGGGGGAAAGAAAUGGGCUACAUUUCCUGGCACAGCAAACACGGACGUUGUACUGAAAACCCAUCUGAAGGAGGAUUUAGCAGUAAGGGGGGAAUAGAGUGCUCCCCUGAAGUAGGCACUGGAGCGCGCACACACCGCCCGUCACUCUCCCCAGUUACACGAACCUAGUAAGUAACAAGCCCGAUAUAUUUAUAAGGGGAGGCAAGUCGUAACAUGGUAAGUGUACUGGAAAGUGCCCUUGGCAAAACU
rnacentral:ncRNA from 1 species